GAUGAAGAACGCAGCGAAAUGCGAUAAGUAAUGUGAAUUGCAGAAUUCAGUGAAUCAUCGAAUCUUUGAACGCACAUUGCGCCCGCCAGUAUUCUGGCGGGCAUGCCUGUUCGAGCGUCAUUACAACCCUCAGGCCCCCGGGCCUGGCGUUGGGGAUCGGCGGAGCCCCCCGUGGGCACACGCCGUCCCCCAAAUGCAGUGGCGGUCCCGCCGCAGCUUCCAUCGCGUAGUAGCUAACACCUCGCGACUGGAGAGCGGCGCGGCCACGCCGUAAACCACCCAACUCUUCUGAAGUUGACCUCGAAUCAGGUAGGAAUACCCGCUGAACUUAAGCAUAUCAAUAAGCGGAGGA
rnacentral:misc_RNA from 1 species